CUACACUCAAUUGUGUGCCCAGGCAAAUAGCUGUUGCCUUCUCCAAGAAAUGCCAGAGUUUGUCUUUGCUGCAGCAAAUCUGCUUGUUCUAUAGUUUUCUCCUUAUUUUUCUCAUACAUCAAGAUCUUAUUUGAAGUUCAGCCCGCAGCCAGAGAGAAGAGAAGAACUGCAGCAAUAGAAGAAUUUUUACUUUGAAGUUGAUGGAUCAUUAUCUGUAUUUGAGCAUUUUCCUUCCCACCACACAAGGAAGAAGAAGUAAACAAAACAAAUUGCUUUAGGUCUUUGAUGUGCCAACCAUGGAUUGUCUCACCUGAAAUUGUAGAUGUGGGAGGAAGGAGAUGUUUGUCUCCAUGCUCGAGUGAUAAGAGGUAGACAGGUAGAGGUCUCUAGUUGAUGUAUGUGGAAGAAAGACAUUCCAUUAGUCUCUUUCCUUCCCCUACUCAAUUAUUCAACUCAAUCAGAGAAGAGAUUCUAUCCAUAGCUUACAUAUAAAAUCUUGGCCUCAGUUUCUUGCAAUUUAUUUAAAGAUCCUGCUGAUGCCAUGCAUAACAUGAAUUUGGUACCAUGUUGGUGCAGAUAUGAUUUGGUGUAAAAUCAAUUUCUAGCUCAAUAUAUCAAUCCAAAAUUGUUCUGGUGUAUGAGGCUAUUGCUACAAAAAGAGUAACCUUUUCAAAUUCAGCAAAAUACACAUUCACACUUGACAAAACGUUUGCUCAAGUGGAACAUUCAAAUUGUUGUUGAGAAAAUUAUUUGGGAUUUAGGAUCAUGGCUUAAACACUGGAAACUUUAAUUUACCUGUGGGGUUUUGAAACAUGGAAGUAAUCAUUUCUUUUGACUGUCUCUACCGCAAAUAAAAAGAUGCUAAGAAGCUACAGCUUUGCAGAGGACUGUGUCCUGACAACUCGACUGAUUACCUUUUGAUCUAAGCUUUAUUCAGCACUGCAGACCUUAAAGAACCUUUUAUUGAGAGUUUUGGCAACCAGGGAAUUCUUCUCUGUAGGGAUGGCAGGAUUAUCAUUAUAGUUUUUGAUAGGUUUAUAGUCUCCCAUAUCUUGUCUUGUAAUUAGGUAGCUCACUAGCUAGCCAAGGCAGGUCUGAAGUUGGAGGAUCUUUCAAAGUUUUAUAUGUCCAGGGAUGUAAAUGCUUUGUGAUUGUUGAUAAAAUUAUUCAUUCAUCAAAAGAUAAGAAUAACAACAACACAUUGCAGCAGUUCAGCCCAUUAUGUUUGACUCUUCAAUAAAUUCAGAUAUAGUUAGAAGAGAAGGGAGAAAUGCUGUGUUGGGUGAUUCUAAAAAAUCAUGGAGAGUUUUGUGUGCUCAUUGUGGGGUCUCAGAUUAGCUUUCCUUUCUCUCUGUCCUUCAUUUAGUUCUCCAAGGCUAAAGUUGAUCCCCUGCAUGCUUUGGAAGCCAGCCAGCAACUUGGGAAAAGAAAACCAUGUUUUAUGGCAAGUGAGCUCCACAUUAUUUUGUAGAAUAAUCACUUUUGUAUUGUGUCUUUUGCCUAUGAUCAAGGGUUCUUUCACUUUAUCCCUGAGCUUUCGAAUGCCAGCUUUUCCUCACAAGUCUUUAAUCUAUUACUGUGCUAUUACAGCUUUUUUUGUGUGAACAAUGGGCUGUCAUAAGACUCAGUUGGCAAUAAAGCAAACAAGAGGGAAGCCAUUACAAGGGUUACUAAAUGAACUAGGCUUAUGCCAAAUAUAUAUGUUUUUUGUGAUUGCAAUUGGAAAGUGGAACAGAACCAGAAUCUGGUCUUCACUUGCAUGAUGACAUUUUUUGGGACAUGAAACAACAGAGUUUGAUGGUGAUGGACAGAUAAAGGUGUUCAAUGCAUGAUCUCUGGCAACUUGGUGCCCUCUUUUGCUGGAAGGCAACCACCACCAGGUAUCUACUGAGCUUUGUAUUGUAUCUUGUUUCAAUCACUAGACACAAGUCUGUCAUUUUCUUUCUAAUUGCUAGAUUGAGAUUGAUGCAGUUCCAAGUAACAUGGAUUUUUUUUUUGUUUCAAACUUUGAAGCCUAAAUCAUUACCUGUUGAUUAUUUUCGCGCUGUUGUUAUACCAUGACAGCAACUAAAUUAAUAUUUAUGUUGGAGGCUGGAUUUAUUUUCAUAUCUGAUUGUACUACAUUUUUGUAUGUUUUUUAAUAUUUCUUUUGGUCAUCAGGAAAAGUUAAAAGUUUCAUUAUUAUUAUUUUUACUUACUAUUGUUAUGGCUGGAGUCUAAUAAGAUGCAUUCAGAUGACCAAAUAGGUGAACAUUUGUUAAUCUGUAUUGUGUGGUUGCUUGACCAAUAUAUUAGAUGGAAAAGGUUGGUAGGAGACAGUGGGUAGCCACUAAACAUUUCAUUUAUUAAGAUAACAUACUUGAUAUCAUUUAUUAAGUUGCAAACUUAAGAUGGAAUUAUUGCUAAGAGUGGAUAAUUAAAAAAAAACUCUUUACCAAACCUUCAAUGAUUCAUGACUUUUUUCAACAGUGUGAUUAAAUAUAUACACUGUCCAAUUCCUGAAAGCCAUUUGGAUCACUGCUGACAGCAGGUUUACCUUUCUGCAUGACUUCAUUCAUAUGAUUCUGCAUUGAUGCACCAAAAACUGCAAGCUGGCCUCUCUGCUAUUAGAUAAAACCAAUUAGAACUAGUCAAACUUUGUUUUUGGCCACUGAGUCUCCCAAAGACACAUUUGAAUUACUGAUUCAUUGUGUGUGCCUAUGUGCCACAAGCUUGAAUUAACCCCCUUUAUUAUGUGCCAAUUACUGAUUCACAGCUGCAAUCUUCUUAACAUCUUAUAAAAAUUGGUAUGAGUGGGAGGCAUUUCAUGAGAGAGCUCAUGGUAGAUUGAACCACUCCUUUGAUUACAUGGCAAUGCAGCUGUGGUGUCUAUUUAUCACCAAACAAAUAAAGUUGAUGGAGAGAGAGGCAUAUGAUGUUGUCCAUUCUUCACUGCUCUCAUAUGCAAAUUUUGGUAGACAACAGAGUCUUUCUAAUUUAUUUGAAGGAUUCUAAAUACUCACUUUUUACAUAUCACAGCAUAUGUUUUGUGUGAACAUGUUCUACCAAAUAGGCUUUCAACUUGCCAAUAGACUUAGUGAGGAGAGAGCAACUCAAGACAGGUAUUUUAUUUAUGUGAUGUUGUUUGUUCCCACUUUUAUGCAACAAAGUGGUGAUGCCAUUCCUACA